rnacentral:rRNA from 1 species
UACAGAGGUCUCAAGCGUUGUUCGGAUUCAUUGGGCGUAAAGGGUGCGCAGGCGGCGCGGUAAGGCGGGUGUGAAAUCUCGGAGCUUAACUCCGAAACUGCAUUCGAUACUGCCGUGCUUGAGGACUGGAGAGGAGACUGGAAUUUACGGUGUAGCGGUGAAAUGCGUAGAUAUCGUAAGGAAGACCAGUGGCGAAGGCGGGUCUCUGGACAGUUCCUGACGCUGAGGCACGAAGGUCAGGGGAGCAAACGGG